CCUACGGGUGGCAGCAGUAGGGAAUAUUGCUCAAUGGGCGAAAGCCUGAAGCAGCAACGCCGCGUGAAGGAUGAAUGUUUUCUGAUUGUAAACUCCUUUUGUUAGAGAAGAUAAUGAUUGUAUGUAACGGAUAAGCACCGGCUCACAUCGUGCCAGCAGCCGCGGUAAUACGGAGGGUGCAAGCGUUAUUCGGAGUUACUGGGCGUAAAGCGAGCGUAGGUGGGUUAGUAAGUCAGAUGUGAAAUCCUAUGGCUUAACCGUAGAACUGCAUUUGAAACUGGUAUUCUAGAGUAUAGUAGAGGUAGGCGGAAUUCGUGGUGUAGCGGUGAAAUGCGUAGAGAUCACGAAGAACACCGAUUGCGAAGGCGGUUCGCUAGACUGCAACUGACGCUGAGGCUCGAAAGCGUGGGGAGCAAACAGGAUUAGAUACCCCUGUAGUC
rnacentral:rRNA from 1 species